AGGCAGUAGCAUCGUUUCACAAUGUUUCCAUCACCAUCAUCAGUGGAUGCCUUUGCCGUCCGUAGCCUGAGAUUUCAGAUUUGCAGCAAAAAAUGUGACUUUCCCAUUUAUUGGAAUGCUGUGCAGCCAUCCAUUACAAUGUCACCAAGCCGUAACAAAAGCAGGAGAGGGAAAGUACAAGGCUAUGUUCCCAAAACACACAAGUGACAUACUUUAUGUGGAUGAUGUGAUCAGGCUUGUGUUUGCUGAGGUAUUUGAAGAUAAGCUGAAGGAAACCCCGAUUCCAAUGGACCUGGCAUCACAGUUUGAGAGACCUUCAAAGGAGGACGUGAUUGCAUGCCAUCUUCAGUGCAGGGGUCGUCGAAAGCCAAAAUUGUGACCGAUCAGAUCAGGAAGCUCCAAGCGUAUCUGGAGAACAACACACGACAGGAUGAUAACCCUAAAGUGUCAUCUUAGAUAGCAUCAGCUGACAAAGCUUUGAUAUGCCAUUUAUCUGAAUAGAUAGCUGUAAGAAGUGAAUUGAACAAUUUUU